CACGUAGGGCGCAAGCGUUGUCCGGAAUUAUUGGGCGUAAAGAGCUCGUAGGCGGUCUGUUGCGUCCGCUGUGAAAACUCGGGGCUUAACCCCGAGCCUGCAGUGGAUACGGGCAGACUAGAGGUAGGUAGGGGAGAAUGGAAUUCCCGGUGUAGCGGUGAAAUUCGUAGAUAUUGGGAAGAACACCGGUGGCGAAGGCGGCUUCCUGGACCGACACUGACGCUGAGGCGCGAAAGCUAGGGGAGCAAACGGG
rnacentral:rRNA from 1 species